CUGAACCAGCCAAGUAGCGUGAAGGAUGACUGCCCUAUGGGUUGUAAACUUCUUUUAUAGGGGAAUAAAGUGAGCCACGUGUGGCUUUUUGUAUGUACCCUAUGAAUAAGGAUCGGCUAACUCCGUGCCAGCAGCCGCGGUAAUACGGAGGAUCCGAGCGUUAUCCGGAUUUAUUGGGUUUAAAGGGAGCGUAGGUGGACAUGUAAGUCAGUUGUGAAAGUUUGCGG
rnacentral:rRNA from 1 species